rnacentral:rRNA from 1 species
UACGUAGGGACCAAGCGUUGUUCGGAUUUACUGGGCGUAAAGGGCGCGUAGGCGGCUUGUCAAGUCACUUGUGAAAUCUCCGGGCUUAACUCGGAACGGCCAAGUGAAACUGUCAUGCUAGAGUGCAGAAGGGGCAAUCGGAAUUCUUGGUGUAGCGGUGAAAUGCGUAGAUAUCAGGAGGAACACCGGUGGCGAAGGCGGUUCUCUGGGCCGAUACUGACGCUGAGGAGCGAAAGCGUGGGGAGCGAACAGG